rnacentral:pre_miRNA from 1 species
UAGCCAAGGAUGACUUGCCUGAUUUCCUAGCAUUUUGGGUUGUGGCUUGCAACAAUCUUUAUACAAAUGUAACCCUUCAUACAGGUUCUCAGGCAGUCUCCUUGGCUAA